rnacentral:tRNA from 1 species
CGCCGACCAGCGCGACCCCGGGCAUGGUGGUCAGCAAUCACCACGUGACCGAAUACGUGGUCGGCUCCUGCCUGUUCGGCGCGGGCGUGGGCGG